rnacentral:lncRNA from 1 species
CUUCUUACUAGUCAAACUCCAUCUACCACCCCCCAUUCUUUCCACACCCACAGCAAUUCAAACAGGGAGGCUUCUGAGGCAACCAGUUAAAGCCCUCUUUUAUAGAUGAGGAAACUGAUGCUUGCAGAAGUGAAUGACCAGCCUAAGGCCCACAGCUGAAAUUACAUCAUGUCUCAGGAAGUCUCCUCUCUCCAACAGAACCAGCGGAUAUUCUCAGCCAAGGCUUUGCAAGUAAGAAAAGAAGAUAAAUGGAUCCUGGUGCCGUUGUUUAAAGUGUGCAUGCUUGCUACAGAGUCUUCAUUUCAUAGUCCAGCCUCAACCAAUUCACCUAUGCAUUACGUUCCCACUGCCUCGCUUCUCACUGAAACGAACAAGACAUGGGUGAGGAGGAAAGUUUGCACUUGUUGUCUGUGCACUUCUUACAUAAAGUACAAUUGUUUUCUAUCCUUGGCCUUUGACCAAAAGUGAGCCAGCUAAUAGUUUAACUUCCACUCAAACAAACAUUUUAACCUGUAAUCAGAAGAGUUGAAAAUAGCAAAUUUCUGGGGAUUCCAUUUCUUUCAUGAUACCUUCUCCACUUUCUCAGAAGAAAACUAACAAAACAUGCUUGCCUUACUUAGUUUGAAAAAAAUUGAGACUGCUGUCUUUACUCUUCACCCAAAAGAUACGUUCCUUUGUUCCUCAAUCUGAAAUGCAUUUCCCAUAUCUGCAUAUUACAUUAAAAUCUUCCUUUCUAAUAUCUUUUUAAAGGACUAGCUUUGUGUUCAACUCUUACUAAGCCCUAUAUAUCCCCAUCAUGGUU